rnacentral:sRNA from 1 species
UUAUUAAUAUCACUAUAUUUUUGGAGGGAGAGGCACCUUUCUCAUCCUCUCUUCCUCUCCGCCCACCCUUACUCCCUCCCCCUCAUCUACCUGUCAAAGUCACUGAUCUUUUGCAUUUCGGAAGAGGACGUCAACGGGAAGGAAUUCCCCCUCUGGGUGCCGGCUCCGAGAGGGGGCGACUUGCAGGAGGCUCCCCCCGGGGGCGGAGGCGAAGGGUGUUGGUGCCAGAAGAAAAGAAUGAUUGAUGGGAAACAGACACCGGGCUAUAGACACUCAUCCUUUUGCUUCAGACACUGAUAUCUCAGCCUGCCUGAGCAUCCCUUGUGAGCUGUGAACAUUGAGGAUCACUCAGGGUUAUCGGAUGUACAACGGGAGAGCCAUCACUUUGCUAAAUUAUUAUCUGCAGUUGGACAUCUUUUACAAAAACCAAACUAGACCUGAGUCUAAUAGAUAUGUUCUAAGACAAAGAAAAAGCUGCAAGUUGUUAACGCCUAACACACAAGUAUGUUAGGCUUCCACCAAAGUCCUCAAUAUACCUGAAUACGCACAAUAUCUUAACUCUUCAUAUUUGGUUUUGGGAUCUGCUUUGAGGUCCCAUCUUCAUUUAAAAAAAAAUUACACAGACCUACCUACCCAUACGCAUACAUACAUAUGUGUAUAUAUAUGUAAACUAGACAAAGAUCGCAGAUCAUAAAGCAAGCUCUGCUUUAGCUUCCAAGAAGAUUACAAAGAAUUUAGAGAUGUAUUUGUCAAGAUUCCUGUCGAUUCAUGCCCUUUGGGUUACGGUGUCCUCAGUGAUGCAGCCCUACCCUUUGGUUUGGGGACAUUAUGAUCUGUGUAAGACUCAGAUUUACACGGAAGAAGGGAAAGUUUGGGAUUACAUGGCCUGCCAGCCGGAAUCCACGGACAUGACAAAAUAUCUGAAAGUGAAACUCGAUCCUCCGGAUAUUACCUGUGGAGACCCUCCUGAGACGUUCUGUGCAAUGGGCAAUCCCUACAUGUGCAAUAAUGAGUGUGAUGCGAGUACCCCUGAGCUGGCACACCCCCCUGAGCUGAUGUUUGAUUUUGAAGGAAGACAUCCCUCCACAUUUUGGCAGUCUGCCACUUGGAAGGAGUAUCCCAAGCCUCUCCAGGUUAACAUCACUCUGUCUUGGAGCAAAACCAUUGAGCUAACAGACAACAUAGUUAUUACCUUUGAAUCGGGGCGUCCAGACCAAAUGAUCCUGGAGAAGUCUCUCGAUUAUGGACGAACAUGGCAGCCCUAUCAGUAUUAUGCCACAGACUGCUUAGAUGCUUUUCACAUGGAUCCUAAAUCCGUGAAGGAUUUAUCACAGCAUACGGUCUUAGAAAUCAUUUGCACAGAAGAGUACUCAACAGGGUAUACAACAAAUAGCAAAAUAAUCCACUUUGAAAUCAAAGACAGGUUCGCGUUUUUUGCUGGACCUCGCCUACGCAAUAUGGCUUCCCUCUACGGACAGCUGGAUACAACCAAGAAACUCAGAGAUUUCUUUACAGUCACAGACCUGAGGAUAAGGCUGUUAAGACCAGCCGUUGGGGAAAUAUUUGUAGAUGAGCUACACUUGGCACGCUACUUUUACGCGAUCUCAGACAUAAAGGUGCGAGGAAGGUGCAAGUGUAAUCUCCAUGCCACUGUAUGUGUGUAUGACAACAGCAAAUUGACAUGCGAAUGUGAGCACAACACUACAGGUCCAGACUGUGGGAAAUGCAAGAAGAAUUAUCAGGGCCGACCUUGGAGUCCAGGCUCCUAUCUCCCCAUCCCCAAAGGCACUGCAAAUACCUGUAUCCCCAGUAUUUCCAGUAUUGGUAGUAAGUAAAAACAAAAACAAAAAAAACACCAAACCAAGUCUAGGCUAGCUUUGCUUUGUUGUUCACCUCCUCAGAUCUAUUUUCCCAGUGUCCAUUUCUGAUGUAAUAGGGUAUUUUCUUUGUGAAUUGCAUUUUUGUGUUGGUUUUCUGCACAGAUCUGGUGAGAACACAGAUAAAAUGAUUAUUUGUGCAUAACUCCAUGAACAUGGCAGUGCUAUGACUUUUCUGACUACUCUUAACCAGUGAGGGCUACCUAGACUCAGGUGCAAUUCCUUAGAUAAUCAUCAUUCAGGAAAAAUAUAAGUAGUCCUAUUUAUCCAUACUUAGCAACCAACAAACAAAUUGAACUCUCUCUCUUAGACUGGAUUUGGAUGUCUGACAUAAUUUUAAAAAGCAGAAAAUGAAAGCCAAUGAAUGCCUUGGGUAUAUGCAUCAGAACCCAAGAAAAAGUCCAUGAUACCAAGGGAAGGGAAUUUUGUUAAUGCAUUAAAUUCUAUGUUUUGUGAAGGCCUGAAACAGGCAAAUUUGUGAUCAGUAGUCUCUCUGGAGAGAUAAAGGAAAAAGAGAAUCUGUACAUUCAUUUCUCCUUCCUAAAAUACGAUGAUCUAUGUCUUCUUGACUACUUAGCUUUGAGUUUGAUAUAGAAACAGUAUAAAAAAUAUGUGCAGAAUUUGGGAGUGAGAGUACUAGAAAUUCCUUUAAUAAAUCUGUUAGUAUGAAUCUAAGCAAUUGAAGAGAAACCGCUCUUCAACCAUCUAUAGAACACUUCUCCGGUAUCACUACAAAGAACUUUCUUCCAGCUAUCAUGGGAGAACCAGGUGUAGCUCCCGCUUCAUGUGUAAAAUAAUGAUGCCCUCAUGCCAAGCCUGAAAUUCGCAUUAAGAAAAUGCCCAGUAACUUUACAGAGCAAAAUUUUAAAUAUUUUUUAUACAUUGCACCCUUUAUCUCUAAUGGCUAAAAUCUUUGAACAACUACUAAGUAACUGAUUACAAAUAAAUUACUGAGGAAGCAAGAUUACGCAUGGUAAGCGGAGAGAAUUUUCACUGUAGUGUCACCUCCUCACAGGCUUGUGUCAUAGGUGCUGUGCCAGGCAGGGUGAUCGCAGUGUAAAUAGCCAUUGAAUGAUUGUGAUUCCCAGCAUCCAUCUAAAAAGCAAUACUCUGAUAAUUUGGAUAAAGCAACUUCCUGCUUCUUAUAAAUGCGCAGUCAGGUGUCCCAAUUUAUAAAUCAACCCAGUUUACUUGAGCUUGUGAAUAGGCCUGGACACUGAUUUGUUAAGCAGUAGAUGUGGUAAAUGCCAUGAAAAUUGGCCACUUUGUAAAUAGAAGUAGUGUUCACAUCCAUUUAGAGAUACCAGCCUAAUGCUACAGCAUCCUCUUUGUGAUCUUGUUGAAACAGCAUCAGUGUUAAAAACUUGCAAAUGAAAACCUUCAGCUCUAAUAGUCUAAUUUUUCUGCUUUAGUAUCCCCCUUGGCAUUUGCCUAACUGUAUAUAUACCCCACAAUGUGCUCCUUUCAGGCCUUGACAAUUGCAUUUGCACGUGCAUUUUAGUGCAACAGGGAAGCAAGUAGAAGCAAGCUGACACAGAUUUUUGAGGCUGCUAUAGUGAUCUGGCCUGUCAGAAGUUUCAGAAAUGGAUGGAUGGAAAAGUAGUUCUUUGGCGUUGGGGUGUCUUUCCGUUUGGAGUGUCAGUUGUAUGUUGCAUGGCCCCUCUAACUGUACUGCUCACUCGACAUCCCAUUCGGCCGCCUCCACCACAUUCCCCAUAUCUGAGCAUCAGCAGAUGUUGACCUUUUACACACCAAAUCAGGAAAUUUCUGUUUUGUUUUGUUUUGUUUUGAAAUCAGUGGUGACCUGAAAGGAUGCUUCGUUGUGCCUUUGAAAAAAAUAUAUUAACCUUUAUUAUCAAGAACCUAGGAAAAUUUACUCCUAAUAAAAACCCUCUGACUAAAAGUGAUAUUUUGGACUCUCCCUUCAAUAUGCCUCUGGCUGUUCCGCUUAGAAUGCAAUGGGUAUUUUCUCAGAUUUCCAGCAAACAGGAUGUAAGAGCUUCCAGAGGUCACCCAACAUCACACAUGACUAGCUUACCUGUUGCCUGGCUUUUAAGGUGAAGAGUUACAGUAAAACCAUCAAACGUGAUUGUAUCUUCUAGGCUGCUUUAAUGGCAUUCAAAAGUUCCUUCUUUGUGGGCUUAUAAGUUGCUUUUUGUGUGCACUCGUGGAUUCCUUUCCUCUCCAAAGGGCAAGAAUUCACACAUAGAUGACACUGCCUGUUCUAGAGGGCACGGGAAUGGGGUUUUCAAGGUGCAAGCCAGAGAAAAGGAAGCUGUUUGGAUAUUUAGCUAAGUUAUGGGUGUUUGCCAGUGCUUUUUGCAUUACCCCAAAGAAGGAAUCAAUGACUAUAAUUCCACUAACUAUAUAGAAAGAUACCAUUAUAGCAGAUGUAACACCCCUGAGACCCCGAUUAUCACAGCAUAGCUCAAGGAAAAUAAAUGAUGUAUAUUAUCGAUGUAGAUUAUUGAUGUAUAUAACCAUCAGUUUACAUACAUAUUCUGUAUACACAGUGAUUAAAGGUUUUGGAGCCCUAAUAAAUUUCAGUAUAGAUCUCAAAAUGCCAACGCCUGUAUUAAGGUUCAAAUGCAUGGAUAGGGUGGUCAUCCUUUCCGAUCAUCUGCUAAAAAUGUUUUUGAAACAAAUUUCCCAUUAAGGUCAUUUGUACCUGCUGUUGUCUAUCUAUUAACAAAUAGGGUUCCCAUAUUCCUAAGGAUACUUGACUUAGAACUCAGUCAUUCUGAUCUGCUUUGGCCAUGGCUGAAAAUAUGCUGGUGAUAUUGUCAGCAAUUAAUGAAUCCCAAAAUAAAUCUGUAGCCUUUG